CGAAAGUCGGACUAAUACCGCAUAAAACAGGGGCACCGCAUGGUGAUAUUUGUUAAAGAAAUUCGCUGAUAGAUGGGCAUGCGUUCCAUUAGGUAGUUGGUGAGGUAACGGCUCACCAAGCCGACGAUGGAUAGGGGAACUGAGAGGUUGGUCCCCCACACUGGUACUGAGACACGGACCAGACUCCUACGGGAGGCAGCAGUGAGGAAUAUUGGUCAAUGGGCGGGAGCCUGAACCAGCCAAGUCGCGUGAAGGAAGAAGGAUCUAUGGUUCGUAAACUGCUUUUGUACGGAACGAAACGGUGAGCUCUAAUACAGUUUGCUAAUGACGGUACCGUAAGAAUAAGCACCGGCUAACUACGUG
rnacentral:rRNA from 1 species